rnacentral:lncRNA from 1 species
GCCUUUUGAUUUUCUUUUGGAUAGAGAAGCAGGUUGCUGGGUCUCCUCCUUACACAAGCCCAGCAUUCAGGUGUAUUAAUUACACCACCACCGGGGUGUGAUGAUGCCUCUUUUCCAAUCUGAUUUCAGAGAGAAAACAACCAGGUGGAUUCAGCCUUUGUAUUAGGAAUUCAAGGAAGUGUCUGGUAGGACGAGGCCCCUUCCCUGGAGGAAUUCAGUGUGCGAUCUGGGAGAAGCAGAUAACUCAAAAUGAUUAUGCUGUGAGAUAAAGCCUGCUGCGCUGAGGUGUGAGGAAGAAAGAGUCUUGUGGAACUCAGAGAGCAGCUUCAUUUUCAUUUAGACCCUGUCUGGCUGGCCCAGUUGUUGCUACAGCUGUCUCCUAGCAACUGCGCUGCCCCUGGGCCAUUCAUUCCAGGGAAGACCCCCCCCCAACACCCCAGUGAUGAUGUUUCCAUGAGGGCCUAGAAGGGUUCCCAGCCACCAGCCUAGGUCCCUCUGCCAAAUUAGACCCACUGAAUCAACACCUCUAUAGACGGGGUCCAGGCGUGUGUGUCUUUCUAAGCAUCCUAGCCAGCACAGCCGCUGAGUUCUGCAGGCCUCGCUUCUUCCUCUCUACUUCUGGCACGCAGAUGUAAAGGGUCCUCUCCCGCAAACACUGCCACGGCUGUCCGCCGCCCUGAAGUCUGUUUCUGCCACCGCUGUUCCUUCCUGAAGACCCCUGUGGGGCGGAAUCGAGGCUCCCGCGCUGCAUCCUCUACCAGCAGCCGCGCCUGCUCUUUCUCCUUCCCAAGGCCUUCAGCAGCACUCAUCUCGGCAGAGCUCAAAAGGAGGCCACGGAAUUGUGUCCCUUCAGAUACCUUCAAGACCGAGGCACCAGCUUACCCUCCCUCAGAGAUGCAAGCUAUACCGCAAACAAAUUAAAUAUCCAGUGCAGUGGUAUUUGCUGGCUGCUUUUAUUUCAUGCCCUAAAUCCUUC